GACGAACGCUGGUGGCGUGCCUAAUACAUGCAAGUCGAGCGGACUGAAUGGGAGCUUGCUCUUGUUCGGUCAGCGGCGGACGGGUGAGUAACACGUGGGCAACCUGCCCGCAAGACCGGGAUAACUCCGGGAAACCGGAGCUAAUACCGGAUAACACCGAAGACCGCAUGGUCUUUGGUUGAAAGGCGGCGCAAGCUGCCACUUGCGGAUGGGCCCGCGGCGCAUUAGCUAGUUGGUGAGGUAACGGCUCACCAAGGCGACGAUGCGUAGCCGGCCUGAGAGGGUGACCGGCCACACUGGGACUGAGACACGGCCCAGACUCCUACGGGAGGCAGCAGUAGGGAAUCUUCCGCAAUGGGCGAAAGCCUGACGGAGCGACGCCGCGUGAGCGAAGAAGGCCUUCGGGUCGUAAAGCUCUGUUGUGAGGGACGAAGGAGCGCCGUUUGAAGAAGGCGGCGCGGUGACGGUACCUCACGAGGAAGCCCCGGCUAACUACGUG
rnacentral:rRNA from 1 species